UUACCAGACUCCUACGGGAGGCAGCAGUGGGGAAUAUUGCACAAUGGGGGAAACCCUGAUGCAGCGACGCCGCGUGAGUGAAGAAGUCUUUCGGUAUGUAAAGCUCUAUCAGCAGGGAAGAAAAACCGACCAUAGGGUCGCUAGACGGUACCUGAUUAAGAAGCCCCGGCUAACUACGUGCCAGCAGCCGCGGUAAUACGUAGGGGGCAAGCGUUAUCCGGAUUCACUGGGUGUAAAGGGAGCGUAGACGGCGGCGCAAGUCUGGAGUGAAAUGCCGGGGCUUAACCCCGGAACUGCUUUGGAAACUGAGCAGCUAGAGUGCAGGAGAGGUAAGUGGAAUUCCUAGUGUAGCGGUGAAAUGCGUAGAUAUUAGGAGGAACACCAGUGGCGAAGGCGGCUUACUGGACUGUAACUGACGCUGAGGCACGAAAGCGUGGGGAGCGAACAGGAUUAGAUACCCUCGUA
rnacentral:rRNA from 1 species